rnacentral:rRNA from 1 species
GAGUUUGAUCGUGGCUCAGAUUGAACGCUGGCGGCAUGCCUUACACAUGCAAGUCGAACGGCAGCACGGGAGCUUGCUCCUGGUGGCGAGUGGCGAACGGGUGAGUAAUGCAUCGGAACGUAUCCUGGAGUGGGGGAUAACGUAGCGAAAGUUACGCUAAUACCGCAUAUUCUGUGAGCAGGAAAGCGGGGGACCUUCGGGCCUCGCGCUCUUGGAGCGGCCGAUGUCGGAUUAGCUAGUUGGUGAGGUAAAGGCUCACCAAGGCGACGAUCCGUAGCAGGUCUGAGAGGAUGAUCUGCACACUGGAAUUGAGACACGGUCCAGACUCCUACGGGAGGCAGCAGUGGGAAUUUUGGACAAUGGGGGCAACCCUGAUCCAGCCAUGCGCGUGAGUGAGAAGG